rnacentral:pre_miRNA from 1 species
UGGACAGAUUAUUGUAUUCGACUGUAUUCGCAGCGUGAAACAAGGGAUUACACUGUUAACGAAAAGUAAAUCAAUUAACAUAAUAGACUCAU